CUUGAGACUGAUUACUACCUUCACAUGAAAAAAGAUGAUAGUUUGCCUGAAACACUGGUGUUGGCCAAUACGAGUUGGUGGCAAGUUGCCUUGAACCAAUAUCACUCGAGAAUCUU
rnacentral:ribozyme from 1 species